CCUACGGGUGGCAGCAGUGGGGAAUAUUGCACAAUGGGGGAAACCCUGAUGCAGCGACGCCGCGUGAGUGAAGAAGUAUUUCGGUACGUAAAGCUCUAUCAGCAGGGAAGAAAAUGACGGUACCUGACUAAGAACCCCCGGCUAACUACGUGCCAGCAGCCGCGGUAAUACGUAGGGGGCAAGCGUUAUCCGGAUUUACUGGGUGUAAAGGGAGCGUAGACGGCAGCGCAAGUCUGGAGUGAAAUCCCAUGGCUUAACCAUGGAAGUGCAUUGGAAACUGGGCAGCUAGAGUGCAGGAGAGGUAAGCGGAAUUCCAAGUGUAGCGGUGAAAUGCGUAGAUAUAAGGAGGAACACCAGUGGCGAAGGCGGCUUACUGGACUGUAACUGACGUUGAGGCUCGAAAGCGUGGGGAGCAAACAGGAUUAGAUACCCUAGUAGUC
rnacentral:rRNA from 1 species